AGAGUUUGAUCCUGGCUCAGAUUGAUUUCUGGCGGCAUGCCUAACACAUGCAAGUCGAACGGCAGCACAGUAAAGAUUUCGGUCUUUAUGGGUGGCGAGUGGCGGACGGGUGAGUAAAGCGUAAGAAUCUGUCCUGGAGCGUGGGAUAACCCGAGGAAACUCGGGCUAAUACCACAUGAUAUCGAGAGAUCAAAAGCAGGGGACCGAAAGGCCUUGCGCUCUGGGGUGAGCCUACGUCGGAUUAGCUAGUUGGUGGGGUAAAAGCCUACCAAGGCGACGAUCCGUAGCUGGUCUGAGAGGAUGACCAGCCACACUGGGACUGAGACACGGCCCAGACUCCUACGGGAGGCAGCAGUGGGGAAUCUUGGACAAUGGGGGAAACCCUGAUCCAGCGAUGCCGCGUGUGUGAAGAAGGCCUUCGGGUUGUAAAGCACUCUAGGUGGGGAAGAAAGGUAACGAGCGAAUAGUUCGUUGCUAUGACGGUACCCGCAGAAUAAGCACCGGCUAACUCUGUGCCAGCAGCCGCGGUAAUACGUAGGGCGCAAGCGUUAUCCGGAAUUAUUGGGCGUAAAGAGCUCGUAGGCGGUUUGUCGCGUCUGCCGUGAAAGUCCGGGGCUCAACUCCGGAUCUGCGGUGGGUACGGGCAGACUAGAGUGAUGUAGGGGAGACUGGAAUUCCUGGUGUAGCGGUGAAGUGCGCAGAUAUCAGGAGGAACACCGAUGGCGAAGGCAGGUCUCUGGGCAUUAACUGACGCUGAGGAGCGAAAGCAUGGGGAGCGAACAGGAUUAGAUACCCUGGUAGUCCAUGCCGUAAACGAUGAACACUAGGUGUCGGGGGAAUCGACCCCCUCGGUGUCGUAGCCAACGCGUUAAGUGUUCCGCCUGGGGAGUACGCACGCAAGUGUGAAACUCAAAGGAAUUGACGGGGGCCCGCACAAGCGGUGGAGUAUGUGGUUUAAUUCGAUGCAACGCGAAGAACCUUACCAGGGUUUGACAUCCUGCGAAUCCCUUGGAAACUUGGGAGUGCCUUCGGGAGCGCAGAGACAGGUGGUGCAUGGCUGUCGUCAGCUCGUGUCGUGAGAUGUUGGGUUAAGUCCCGCAACGAGCGCAACCCACGUCUUUAGUUGCCAGCAUUUAGUUGGGCACUCUAGAGAGACCGCCGGUGAUAAACCGGAGGAAGGUGUGGAUGACGUCAAGUCAUCAUGCCCCUUACAUCCUGGGCUACACACGUACUACAAUGCUACGGACAAAGGGUUGCAAACUCGCGAGAGCUAGCUAAUCCCAUAAACCGUGGCUCAGUUCAGAUCGUAGGCUGCAACUCGCCUACGUGAAGGAGGAAUCGCUAGUAAUCGCAGGUCAGCAUACUGCGGUGAAUACGUUCCCGGGCCUUGCACUCACCGCCCGUCA
rnacentral:rRNA from 1 species